UGACAGCUAGAAUGCCACGAUCGAAAUCUGAUUGGUUAAUGCUGUCUCACUAUUGGCUACAAUGCAUUGCUGCAACAAGAAUACAUAAAUUCAGCCAAUCACAAGAAUCAAUACUGUAAUAAUGAUUGAUGCAAUUUUUCCGUAAUCGACCAGCUGAUUAGUGUAUUGUGC